ACGGCCAUACCAUGCUGAAUAUACUCGUUAGAUCACCGAAGUCAAGCAUCAUUGGGCGCGAUCAGUACUUAGGUGGUCAUCAGUACUUACUCCACCUGGGAACACCGCGUGCCGCUG